UACGUAGGGGGCUAGCGUUGUCCGGAUUUAUUGGGCGUAAAGAGCGUGUAGGCGGCCAGGUAGGUCUGCUGUGAAAACUCGAGGCUCAACCUCGAGACGCCGGUGGAAACCGUAAGGCUAGAGUCCGGAAGAGGAGAGUGGAAUUCCUGGUGUAGCGGUGAAAUGCGCAGAUAUCAGGAGGAACACCGGUGGCGAAGGCGGGUCUCUGGCCGAUACUGACGCUGAGGAGCGAAAGCGUGGGGAGCGAACAGG
rnacentral:rRNA from 1 species